rnacentral:rRNA from 1 species
UACGUAGGGUGCGAGCGUUGUCCGGAAUUAUUGGGCGUAAAGAGCUUGUAGGCGGUUUGUCGCGUCUGCUGUGAAAAUCCGGGGCUCAACCCCGGACUUGCAGUGGGUACGGGCAGGCUAGAGGCUGGUAGGGGCAAGCGGAAUUCCUGGUGUAGCGGUGAAAUGCGUAGAUAUCGGGAAGAACACCAGUGGCGAAGGCGGCUGCCUGGCCUGUAACUGACGCUGAGACGCGAAAGCGUGGGGAGCGAACCGG